AUGGCCACCUCCGCCAUGACACUCGCCAUGGCCGCGGCCACGGACGCCUCCCUCUUUCACCCCACGUUCCUCUCCCAACACAAGCUCACCCCGGCGGCCGCCUUCCUCCCACUCAUUUUCUCUCGCGCGCCGCUCCUCCGCUCCACCCGCCCCCGCGCCCCCCUUACGCCCCUCGUCGCCUCCUCCGACGCCGCCGAGGCGGGCCUCGACUGGGCCGACGCGGAGGAAGCCGAAGAGACGGUGACGGAGGAGGAGCCCGCGGUGGCGGCCUCCGGUGGGGAUGCGGGGUACGCAGCCGAGCCUCCCGAGGAGGCUAAGGUGUACGUCGGGAACCUGCCGUAUGAUGUGGACAGCGAGCGGCUCGCCCAGCUCUUCGACCAGGCCGGCGUCGUCGAGGUCGCCGAGGUCAUUUACAACAGAGAGUCAGGCCAGAGCCGUGGAUUUGGAUUUGUUACCAUGAGUACUAUUGAGGAAGCUGACAAAGCCAUCGAGACGUUCAACCGCUACGACAUCAGCGGAAGGCUUCUGAACGUAAACAGGGCAGCUCAAAGGGGCUCCCGUGUUGAGAGACCUCCUCGACAGUUUGCAUCUUCUUUCAGGGCUUAUGUUGGUAACCUGCCAUGGCAAGCGGAAGACUCUAGGUUGGUGCAAUUGUUCAGCGAGCAUGGGGAAGUAGUUAACGCUACAGUUGUGUACGACAGAGAAACUGGGCGUUCACGAGGAUUUGGUUUUGUAACUAUGGCUUCAAAGGAAGAUCUUGACAGUGCUAUUUCAGCGCUUGAUGGACAGGAGAUGGAUGGCCGUCCACUCCGAGUGAACGUUGCCGCGGAGCGACCGCAGCGAGGGUUCUGA
rnacentral:rRNA from 1 species